UACGUAGGGGGGCAAGCGUUGUCCGGAAUUAUUGGGCGUAAAGAGCGUGUAGGCGGUCCGGUAAGUCAGCUGUGAAAGUCAAGGGCUCAACCCUUGAAAGCCGGUUGAUACUGUCGGGCUAGAGUCCGGAAGAGGCGAGUGGAAUUCCCGGUGUAGCGGUGAAAUGCGCAGAUAUCGGGAGGAACACCAAUGGCGAAGGCAGCUCGCUGGGACGGUACUAGACGGCUGACGACGCGAAAGCGUGGG
rnacentral:rRNA from 1 species